rnacentral:lncRNA from 1 species
CUGAAAAACAUAAAUAUUUCAGUAAUUUAACAAGAAAGAAAAUGUGCCUUCGUUCUUGGGGCACUACAGAAACUUGUACUUCUUGGAGGAACUAAAGCAAAUUAUAGAUCUAUUUUAUAUAUAUAUACAAACUUUGAAGUAUUCUCACCACAUUCAUUAACAAUACUGUACGUUAGUAAAGCCUAUAUGUUGGUGGUACUUAUAUACUGCCUGGAAUACUUAAGUACUGCUGGUUUACUUAAAGGGUGAAACUUUUAUUAUUUAGAAUCAGUGUGACGUUGAACCAUUUUUAUUGUUAGCAAUACUUGUCACGAUGUUGUCCAAUAAGGCUUCUGAGACUCUAUGGUUUGCUUGAAUGGCUAUAGGCAGUUGCUUACACUGUUAAAGAGGCCAAUGAAUUCUAUAGUAGAUUUAGGAAUGUAUAGAAGGAACCCAGCCAGACAUUUAUUGAAUUAGUUUAUUUUAUUACCAAGCUUAAAGACUUUUCAUUUUUAAAUAAGCUUAUUAUGAGUGACCAUUAUCUACAGAUUCAGAUGUGUAUUUAUGUGGAAGUGACAAAUGUAGAGAAACUUCCAACUUUAAUAUGCGCUGUAUUUCUUUUAUUCAUAAUCUUUCACAUCAAAGUCAAUUGUGAUCUGGUUUUUGAAGUUUUGAUAAAUAUAGCAUGACGAAUUCUACGACUUUCUAUGGGCGGCCAGAAACAGACACCACCACAGUAAAGCCGCUAAUGGUUGUUACGCCCGUUUAACUCCCGGUAAACCACAUUCAUUAAUCUCUAUAGUGAAAAAUUAACAAGUUAUAAAUAGAAAAAUAUUAAACUAGCAAUAGAAAGGCGAUAAAUAAUCACGACAUAGUGAAGUUUUAUGGAACAAUUAUCGAGAAAUGAAAUGUCUUAAACACUUGUGAUGAGGUGGUUAGCCCAGUUAAGAGGUGGUUAGCCCAGUUAAGAUUUUCCCGCCUAAUUCACAUGUAUCACCCCCCCCCCCCCACCACUGCCGUCCUUAAAUACUCUGAAAGCUGUGACGGGAGGUCAGUACUGAUCAUAACCUCAAAGGAAGUAAUACUACUGGAUCCAUGGAUAUACAUCUCUUCAUUCUUCAAAUGCUGGUGUUAUUUUUCUUGAAUAUCCGAGAACUACGUGGAAUAACUACUGGAAAUGGUUUAGUGAGGGGAUGAUUUUGAGUUUCGUUCUAGUUGAAAGUGGACCAAUCCAGCUUCACCCACGGCACAGUGACCUACCUACCUUCGUUAUGUGGGCAGUUAAGGACGAACCCGGCUAGAGUGGGGAAGAAUUAUAGGAGCGGGAACUGCUGUAUUUAUUUAACUGUAGAUAUGAUCGACAUAUUUCUACAAUAAACUUGAUUUUAAAUUUUAAAA